rnacentral:rRNA from 1 species
GACAGAGGGUGCAAGCGUUGUUCGGAAUUAUUGGGCGUAAAGGGCGCGUAGGUGGCCAAGUAAGUCAGACGUGAAAGCCCAGGGCUUAACCCUGGAAGUGCAUCUGAUACUGCAUGGCUUGAGUCUCGGAGAGGGUUGCGGAAUUCCCAGUGUAGAGGUGAAAUUCGUAGAUAUUGGGAGGAACACCAGUGGCGAAGGCGGCAACCUGGACGAAGACUGACACUGAGGCGCGAAAGCGUGGGGAGCAAACAGG